rnacentral:rRNA from 1 species
UACGUAGGGUGCGAGCGUUGCCCGGAUUUAUUGGGCGUAAAGGGCGCGUAGGUGGCUCGGCACGUCCGUUGUGAAAUCGCUCGGCUCAACUGGGCGAGGUCAGCGGAUACGGUCGAGCUUGAGCCAGCUAGGGGGGAAUGGAAUUCCCGGUGUAGUGGUGGAAUGCGUAGAUAUCGGGAGGAACACCAGUGGCGAAGGCGGUUGCCUGGGGCGGUGCUGACGCUGAGGCGCGAAAGCGUGGGGAGCGAUCCGG